CCUACGGGGCGCAGCAGUGGGGAAUAUUGGACAAUGGGCGAAAGCCUGAUCCAGCCAUGCCGCGUGUGUGAAGAAGGCCUUCGGGUUGUAAAGCACUUUCAGUGGGGAAGAAAGCCUUGGGCUAAUACCCUCGAGGAAGGACAUCACCCACAGAAGAAGCACCGGCUAACUCCGUGCCAGCAGCCGCGGUAAUACGGAGGGUGCGAGCGUUAAUCGGAAUUACUGGGCGUAAAGCGCGCGUAGGCGGUCUGAUAAGCCGGUUGUGAAAGCCCCGGGCUCAACCUGGGAACGGCAUCCGGAACUGUCAGGCUAGAGUGCAGGAGAGGAAGGUAGAAUUCCCGGUGUAGCGGUGAAAUGCGUAGAGAUCGGGAGGAAUACCAGUGGUGAAGGCGGCCUUCUGGACUGACACUGACGCUGAGGUGCGAAAGCGUGGGUAGCAAACAGGAUUAGAUACCCGAGUAGUC
rnacentral:rRNA from 1 species